rnacentral:rRNA from 1 species
GAUGAACGCUGGCGGCGUGCUUAACACAUGCAAGUCGAACGGAAAGGCCCAAGCUUGCUUGGGUACUCGAUUGGCGAACGGGGGAGUAACACGUGGGUGUUCUGCCCUUCACUUCGGGAUAAGCCUGGGAAACUGGGUCUCAUACCGGAUAUGAUCUCUUCAUGGAUGUUGUGGUGGAAAGAAUUCGCGGUGUGGGAUGAGUUCGCGGCCUAUCAGCUUGUUAGUGGGGUGAUGGUCUACCAAGGCGUCGACGGGUAGCCGGCACGUGAGAGUGUACGGCCACAUUGGGACUGAGAGAGAGGCCGGAGUCGGGCGGGGUGCGGCAGUGGGGAAUAUUGGACAAAGGGAGCAAGCGUGAGGGAGGGAGGUCGCGGGGGCGAUGACGGCUGUCAGGUUGUAAACACCUUUCGCUAGGGAAGAGGCGUUUUUUUGACGGUACCUGGAGAAGAAGCACCGGCUAACUACGUG